UACGUAGGGGGCAAGCGUUGUUCGGAUUUACUGGGCGUAAAGGGCGCGUAGGCGGCGUGACAAGUCACUUGUGAAAUCUCUGGGCUUAACCCAGAACGGCCAAGUGAAACUGUUGUGCUAGAGUGCAGAAGGGGCAAUCGGAAUUCUCGGUGUAGCGGUGAAAUGCGUAGAUAUCGAGAGGAACACCAGAGGUGAAGACGGGUUGCUGGGCUGACACUGACGCUGAGGCGCGAAAGCCAGGGGAGCAAACGGG
rnacentral:rRNA from 1 species